rnacentral:rRNA from 1 species
AUUGAACGCUGGCGGCAUGCCUUACACAUGCAAGUCGAACGGCAGCACGGGUGCUUGCACCUGGUGGCGAGUGGCGAACGGGUGAGUAAUACAUCGGAACAUGUCCUGUAGUGGGGGAUAGCCCGGCGAAAGCCGGAUUAAUACCGCAUACGAUCUACGGAUGAAAGCGGGGGACCUUCGGGCCUCGCGCUAUAGGGUUGGCCGAUGGCUGAUUAGCUAGUUGGUGGGGUAAAGGCCUACCAAGGCGACGAUCAGUAGCUGGUCUGAGAGGACGACCAGCCACACUGGGACUGAGACACGGCCCAGACUCCUAAGGGAGGCAGCAGUGGGGAAUGUUGGACAAUGGGCGAAAGCCUGAUCCAGCAAUGCCGCGUGUGUGAAGAAGGCCUUCGGGUUGUAAAGCACUUUUGUCCGGAAAGAAAUCCUUGGCCCUAAUACGGUCGGGGGAUGACGGUACCGGAAGAAUAAGCACCGGCUAACUACGCG